GACGAACGCUGGCGGCGUGCCUAAUACAUGCAAGUAGAACGCACAGUUUAUACCUUUGCUUGCUACACCAUAGACUGUGAGUUGCGAACGGGUGAGUAACGCGUAGGUAACCUGCCUGGUAGCUGGGGAUAACUAGUGGAAACGAUAGCUAAUACCGCCUAAUAUUUAUUAUUGCUUGAUAAUUAAUUGCAAGGUGCAAUUGCACCGCUACCAAAUGGACCUGCGUUGUAUUAGUUAGUAGGUGAGGUAACGGCUCACCUAGGCCGCGAGACGUAGCCGACCUGAGAGGGUGGUCGGCCACCCUGGGAGUGAGACACGGCCCAGACUCCUACGGGAGGCAGCAGUAGGGAAGCUUCGGCAAUGGACGAAAGUCUGACCGAGAAACGCCGCGGGAGUGAAGAAGGUCGUCGGAUCGUAAAGCUCUGUUGUAAGGGAAGAACGGGUGUGAGAGUGGAAAGUUCACACUGUGACGGUAUCUGACCAGAAAGGGACGGCUAACUACGUG
rnacentral:rRNA from 1 species